rnacentral:rRNA from 1 species
CCUACGGGAGGCAGCAGUGAGGAAUAUUGGUCAAUGGCCGGAAGGCUGAACCAGCCAUGCCGCGUGAAGGUCAGUGCCCUAUGGGCGUUAAACUUCUUUUGUGCGGGAGCAAUAAUGGUCACGUGUGGCCAGACGAGAGUACCGUACGAAUAAGCAUCGGCUAACUCCGUGCAAGCAGCCGCGGUAAUACGGGGGAUGCAAGGGUUAUCCAGAUGUAGUGGGGUUAAAGGGUGAGUAGGCUGUGAGGUAAGGCAGCGGUAAAAUGCCCCCGCUCAACGGGGUGAAGUGCCAUUGAUACUGGCUUGCUAGAAUGCAGAUGCCGUGGGAGGAAUGUGUGGUGUAGCGGUGAAAUGCAUAGAUAUCACACAGAACACCGAUUGCGAAGGCAUCUCACGAAUCCGCGAUUGACGCUGAUGCACGAAAGCGUGGGUAUCAAACAGGAUUAGAUACCCUUGUAGUC